rnacentral:misc_RNA from 1 species
AAUCUCAAUCCCCUCGGGUUUUACGACUUGGGUGGGACUUGGACCUGGGCGCUGCCACGCUUUGCGAUGGCUCGCCUCAAAUGGAUUAGUGGGAUAGCACUUGUAAUCAGACGUAAUAAGUUUCGUCUGGUCUCGGUGUGACGUCCGCUCAUAACCCACCAUACUUUCUGA